UACGAGGGGGGCGAGCGUUGUUCGGAAUUAUUGGGCGUAAAGGGUGCGUAGGCGGUUUUGUAAGUCUUAUGUGAAAUCUAUGGGCUCAACUCAUAGACUGUAUGAGAAACUGCAGGGCUUGAGUAUGGGAGAGGUGAGUGGAAUUCCUGGUGUAGCGGUGAAAUGCGUAGAUAUCAGGAGGAACACCUGUGGCGAAAGCGGCUCACUGGACCAUAACUGACGCUGAUGCACGAAAGCUAGGGGAGCAAACAGG
rnacentral:rRNA from 1 species